GUUUAUGAAAUGAUAGAAGUUAGAUUUGAGUUCACUGUGUGCUCUGUGCCAUUUUACAGGCAGGAAGCAGGAAUGAAAUCUUCCCAAGGAAAGCCUAGAAUUUGGGAACUUUGAAGCAGGAGGGUAAGACAGUGUCCUUAAGAGCUGCAUUAAAGUAGCAUGCAUGUUGGCUGUGCUCAGGCCUCCCAAAGCUGACCAUUCUUUUUUUGAUAGGAUGCUUUUCCCCUGAUAACUAGAUAGAUGUGUGUGUUUUCAUAUUCUAUGCACAUGUGUGCUACCUAUAUCCAGAAGCAUUGAAUAAAGCUGGCUUCUCCAUUUUGUUUAGAUAUUCAGAGCAAUACACACACACACACACACACACACACUCUUAAGAGACACAGAGACCAUUCUAACAGUAUUAAUUUAAAUGGCUGUUAACAGCUUAUAUCGUGUGGUUCAGUCAUCAAUAUGCAGGUCAAAUACCCCAAAUCAGAUAGAAGCAGCCUUUGACCGACGGAGCUUUCUAUAUUUUUUUUGAGUCUUUUAUUUUGUGAUUAGUGAAAUACCCAUUGAAGAUGACUGGGCGUAAAACUGUUUUCUUUCACAGAAAAGACCCCAGACCGUCUCACAGUGUCAGUCUUGCAGUCUUGGCUCAUUGCACACGGGGAUCUUUAAAUUAGGAUUAGCCUAUCAUAAAGUUAGCUUUUAAACAGAAUGGGAAAACAUAAGUCUGCUGAAGUGCAGGGAAGCCUGCUGCUACUGAUGGAACAUUGGUUUUUCCCCAACUAACAUCCAGAAUACAGGCAUUUCCAUUGGGGGUGUUUGAGAUCACCUGCCUACACAGAGCAGCUGAUAUCUGGAUAUGUAAGACAGGGUCUCUACGGAGAGGGAAUUCUUAGGAACGAUAUUACCAUGUUACUUACAGGUGAAGCAAGCACCACACUUUUCAGUCUACAGAGCCAACUUCCCUUUCCUUCUCUGUACCCACUUCUACCCAGAUGAAACGGAAGGAUGCGUUUGUAUAUUAAUUGUAAAUGAGACUAUAAAUGGCAGUGUCUUAUUAUGGUUACUUAUUUUUCAUUUCUCUUUAUCUGUAUGAUUCUGAAUAAAAAGAAAUACUGAUCUACGAAG
rnacentral:lncRNA from 1 species